ensembl:lncRNA
CUCAGACAUGGCAGAACCACCAGCUAGCUGAGGUACUUCAGCACCUCUGAAAAGAAAGCAAGAGCUCUGUAUGGCAUACGGGGAGGGCUUUCAAUAGGUGACAGAACAUUCUUAGAACUUUGCUGCUUGUUACUCCCCAAGAGAAGAUUCAUCAAAUUGGAUGUAUCAGGUCAUAUAGUCAGAAGCAAGAUACAUCCAGCAUCAUCACCUAAAAAUGCAUAAUUGUCAAGUCAUUAUGGCCAUCUUGCAAAAGUUGUGGUAGUAAAAGCAAACUUAAUGACUUGAUGAAUAUGACCAGCAGCAUUGAAGAGUGAUCUUGCUGCCUCACUCCUAACUGGAUUUCUUCAGAUAAACAUGCAAACAUCCCUAUUUCAUUGUGACAGAAGCAAUGUUCACAGCACGAAGAUAAAUAGAUGCUGCAUGAGGUGCCUCCUCAUCAAAAGCCAUUACCCUUAAUGGUAAGCUGUGCAUCAGUCUGCUCAAAGUAUCUCAGGGCAUUGGAGGACUUUACAGUAACUAAAAUGGUUGUGGCAGGCUAUGCACUGCCUGAGCUGCAGCUAAAAAGUACUUGAGAGUGCUUGGAGGUGCACAGACUGCUAGGACUGUCCUGGAGAGAGCAUCACAUCCACCACACACUGGGUAAGUGCUUGUUGCAGUGAACUGUAUCUCCAGAAAACUUCAAGGCAUUCUGAAGAGAAAUCUGGAAGGAACAUCACAAAACAGAGCCAGGAAGCAAGAAGAAUCAGGGAUCUAUUCCUUACCUUUAUUCCCUGGCCCUCUGGCAUGACUUCAGCAUACUUAGUACUCUAUAGCACGUUCAGUGAUCAAGAUAAAACAUCACCUUCAAGCUUGAUUCAGCAUAGUACCUUUGUGUCUGUAUGUACAUCAACAAAUGCAUGCAGACAUACAAAAAAAGUCUGGAUACAAAAUCAAGACCUGAACCAAAAGAAAACACUGAAGUCUUGGAAUAGCAUCAUAAAACAACCAGACAAUGAACCAUUUGUAUAACUUAUAAAUUAUUUUUCUAAUGUCUCAUUUAUAGAAAUAAGUGAUUUAGUUGUAGGAACUUCCAUUUACAAGGAGUGAAUGCAUAGUUUCUUUUGUUCAGCAUGCUAUUUUGGCAGUGAUACAGAAAUGCCUACUGAUGUUUCUCAAUUGCUGUCAGGUCUUUAAUAUUUCCAUACUUAAUGCCUAUCAUUGCGUCUUAUCACUUUUUUUUUUUUUUCCAUUACCCUAUACCCAAAUGCUGGCUUACCGAAAAGGUGAAUCACCCAUUCCCAGUUUUUGUGUAACAGAUAAGGGAAACAACUGAAGAUGAACGUGAGGCUGGUAUAUGUCAGUAAGCACUGCAAUGCAGGGAAGAUUUGGAAGUAUGCACUCAAAUAUUUCAUUUCCUGUGCUUGACUGGGAUCAGAGCAUUCAUAACCCCCUAAGUCUGCAAUCUGAGUUAGCGAAGUUAGAAACACAUUUUUUGUGUCCCAAAAUUUACUUUGUGAUAUGAAAAUAUCCCCUAUUUAUUUUCUUCUUGCAUGACAUUGCACAAGUCAUUGCAUAUAAUGAAUCAACUGGGAGGACAAACUUUUUCAAGCUCGGUCAGGGAGGCUCUGAGCUCCUUUUCUCUGAGUGCAAUAAGUGACCCUGCUCUGAAACACUGGAAAAGCGUUGAAAGCAAAACAAAGAAAUGUUUUCCAUUGCUUAGACUUAUGAGAGGUAUUUCUACCGUGGCAACAAGAGGCAUAGCUCAAAUCAAAGUCUGGAAACUAAAAAUAUUUUAAAAAAUUAAAAAUAGAAUUCCUGUGAAAUAAGUAUAACAAUUUUACUGGUCCUGAGGCAUUAAAAAAUGUCAUUUAACUUUCACUUUCUGAGUUGAUCAAUUGAUUGUUCACCUCCCAGUUUCUCUUCAUCUCACAGGAAGUUAGUGCUAUAGAGUGGUGUUUCUCAAAUAACUUCCCAAACAGAUUGUUUAACAUGUUGCCUUGUACAAAAUUCCAGUAGUAUUACCAUAUAUUUACCAUUUUAAAUAAAAUAACAUUUGUAACUG